GGUGACUUCUCACAAUUUAUGGAAAAAAGAUACAUGCGUGUGUAUACCUACUGUGAUAGUCCUGCCUUGUAUUUGUUGAUGGCUGUGACUUCGACAGAUUACUCUGGAUGCAUGGGCAGAGGCGGCCUUAGCAGUGCGCGGGACCCUGGGCGAUUGUCAUAUGCGGGGCCUUAAGCCGGAUGGCAUCUUGAUGAAGGCGAGACUAUUGGUAGACAAACUAGGUAAUGAAUUAGUGCUGCCGAAAAUUUGUAGUCGACAUUUGUUUGGAUUUUGGGAUUAUUAAAGAACACUGCUGUACAGUC
rnacentral:sRNA from 1 species